rnacentral:rRNA from 1 species
CGAUGAACCACUUCGGUGGGGAUUAGUGGCGAACGGGUGAGUAACACGUGGGCAAUCUGCCCUUCACUCUGGGACAAGCCCUGGAAACGGGGUCUAAUACCGGAUACCACUACCGCAGGCAUCUGUGGUGGUUGAAAGCUCCGGCGGUGAAGGAUGAGCCCGCGGCCUAUCAGCUUGUUGGUGAGGUAAUGGCUCACCAAGGCGACGACGGGUAGCCGGCCUGAGAGGGCGACCGGCCACACUGGGACUGAGACACGGCCCAGACUCCUACGGGAGGCAGCAGUGGGGAAUAUUGCACAAUGGGCGAAAGCCUGAUGCAGCGACGCCGCGUGAGGGAUGACGGCCUUCGGGUUGUAAACCUCUUUCAGCAGGGAAGAAGCGAAAGUGACGGUACCUGCAGAAGAAGCGCCGGCUAACUACGUGCCAGCAGCCGCGGUAAUACGUAGGGCGCAAGCGUUGUCCGGAAUUAUUGGGCGUAAAGAGCUCGUAGGCGGCUUGUCACGUCGGGUGUGAAAGCCCGGGGCUUAACCCCGGGUCUGCAUUCGAUACGGGCUAGCUAGAGUGUGGUAGGGGAG